GUUGAGGAUGAUUUAUUCUACUUUUAUCACGACGGUCAACGUAGCAUAUGCUUUGACGACCACAGCCUAUGACAGGGCUUAGAUCUGAAU
rnacentral:snoRNA from 1 species